CUAAUACCGCAUACGUCCGUACGGAAGGAAGGGGGGGAUCUUCGGACCUCUCGCUAAUAGAUGAGCCUAGGCCGGAUUAGCUAGUUGGUAGGGUAAAGGCCUACCAAGGCGACGAUCUGUAGCUGGUCUGAGAGGAUGGCCAGCCACACUGGAACUGAGACACGGUCCAGACUCCUACGGGAGGCAGCAGUGGGGAAUAUUGGACAAUGGGGGCAACCCUGAUCCAGCCAUGCCGCGUGUGUGAAGAAGGCCUUCGGGUUGUAAAGCACUUUAAGCGAGGAGGAAGGUUUUGGUUUAAUACACUAAAGAAUUGACGUUACUCGCAGAAUAAGCACCGGCUAACUCUGUG
rnacentral:rRNA from 1 species